rnacentral:tRNA from 1 species
UUGGGAAUGUAACUCAGUGGUAGAAUGCUUGCUUAACGUGUGUGAGACUCUGGGUUCAAUCCCCAGCACUAAA